GAUGGCGGAGUGGUAAGAACGUACCGUUGGCAAUGCCGGAGGUUCCUGGUUCGAUCCCCGGUUGCGGCA